rnacentral:rRNA from 1 species
AUUGAACGCUGGCGGCAGGCCUAACACAUGCAAGUCGAACGAGUGGCGGACGGGUGAGUAAUGGCUGGGAAACUGCCUGAUGGAGGGGGAUAACUACUGGAAACGGUAGCUAAUACCGCAUACCAUCGGAUGUGCCCAGAUGGGAUUAGCUAGUAGGGGGGGUAAAGGCUAACCUAGGCGACGAGCCCUAGCUGGUCUGAGAGGAUGACCAGCCACACUGGACCUGCGACACGGUCCCGACUCCUACUGGAGGCAGCAGUGGGGAAUAUUGCACAAUGGGCGCAAGCCUGAUGCAGCCAUGCCGCGUUUAUGAAGCAGGCAUUCGGGUUUUAAAGUACUUUCCGCGGGGAGGCGUUACCCGCAGAAGAAGCCCCGGCUAACUCCGUGCCAGCAGCCGCGGUAAUUC